GGACUACCCGGGUAUCUAAUCCUGUUCGCUCCCCACGCUUUCGCUCCUCAGCGUCAGUAAUGGCCCAGAGAUCCGCCUUCGCCACCGGUGUUCCUCCUGAUAUCUGCGCAUUUCACCGCUACACCAGGAAUUCCGAUCUCCCCUACCACACUCUAGCUAGCCCGUAUCGAAUGCAGACCCGGGGUUAAGCCCCGGGCUUUCACACCCGACGUGACAAGCCGCCUACGAGCUCUUUACGCCCAAUAAUUCCGGACAACGCUUGCGCCCUACGUAUUACCGCGGCGGCUGGCAC
rnacentral:rRNA from 1 species